rnacentral:rRNA from 1 species
UACGAAGGGGGCUAGCGUUGCUCGGAAUCACUGGGCGUAAAGCGCACGUAGGCGGAUUGCUAAGUCAGGGGUGAAAUCCUGGAGCUCAACUCCAGAACUGCCUUUGAUACUGGCGAUCUUGAGUCCGGGAGAGGUGAGUGGAACUGCGAGUGUAGAGGUGAAAUUCGUAGAUAUUCGCAAGAACACCAGUGGCGAAGGCGGCUCACUGGCCCGGUACUGACGCUGAGACGCGACAGCGUGGGGAGCAAACAGG